UCCGUAGACACGGGGUGCUCCGCACACGAGCGGGAGCUGAGAUCACACCCGUCGAACCUGAUCAGGUAAUGCUGACGAAGGGAUGUCACGGCAUGACCAU
rnacentral:ncRNA from 2 species